GAAAUGCGAUAAGUAAUGUGAAUUGCAGAAUUCAGUGAAUCAUCGAAUCUUUGAACGCACCUUGCGCUCCUUGGUAUUCCUUGGAGCAUGCCUGUUUGAGUAUCAUGAAAUCUUCAAAGUAAAUCUUUUGUUAACUCAAUUGGUUUCUACUUUGGUAUUGGAGGUCUUUGCAGCUUCACACCUGCUCCUCUUUGUUCAUUAGCUGGAUCUCAGUGUUAUGCUUGGUUCCACUCGGCGUGAUAAGUUAUCUAUCGCUGAGGACACUGUAAAAGGUGGCCAAGGUAAAUGCAGAUGAACCGCUUCUAAUAGUCCACUGACUUGGACAAUACUUUUAUGAUCUGAUCUCAAAUCAGGUAGGACUACCCGCUGAACUUCAGC
rnacentral:misc_RNA from 1 species